GGAGAUCUGACCUUUGAGAAAGGUGACAAGCGUGACCCAGGAGCCAGGCUGCUGUGUGCUCUGUCCCUCCCGUUUCUCCACACACAACACAUGGCAGGAAGUACCGCAUGCUUAUUGAACAAAUAAACAAGAAAAUAACAUACACCUAUGCUGUGUGUCCCAGAGGGAUCAGACGCAGGCUCUGUUCUCAGUCUGCUCCCGCCCAUUUUGAUGGCCAGCUUCCAGUCUUCAGGGUGUCUCCUGUCGAAGCCCAGCUGUCCCCUGCAAGAGGAGUGCCGAGGUGCUGCCGUCCACGUCAGAGAACUCGCUCCACGAAUCCAUCAUCAUUUUGCAUUUUGGGGUUCCCACCGGCUCUCGGUCCUUGUCUGCAUGUGUUCUAUAAAGGCAUGUGCCACACCUUCAACUGGGCCGCACCUCUGCACAGUGCCUGCAGUGACAGCCUUGGGGCACAACUCUGCUCCUGGCAGGGCCUGUGAUCUGGUCACCUGUCACCAGAGUCUGUAUCCAGUCAGUGUAAUGGUCACAGGUUGUUCACGAGAACAUGUAUAAAACACAAAAUUCCCA
ensembl:lncRNA